rnacentral:rRNA from 1 species
GACGAACGCUGGCGGCGUGCUUAACACAUGCAAGUCGAACGGGCUGCCUGGUUUUCGGAUCGGGUAGUGAGUGGCGAACGGGUGAGUAACACGUGAGUAACCUGCCCCUCUCUUUGGGAUAACGUCGGGAAAUCGGCGCUAAUACCGGGUAUUCUGGCUUCCUCGCAUGGGGUUGUUGGGAAAGGUUUUUUCUGGUGGGGGAUGGGCUCGCGGCCUAUCAGCCUGUUGGUGGGGUGAUGGCCUACCAAGGCGGUGACGGGUAGCCGGCCUGAGAGGGUGUCCGGCCACACUGGGACUGAGACACGGCCCAGACUCCUACGGGAGGCAGCAGUGGGGAAUAUUGCACAAUGGGCGGAAGCCUGAUGCAGCGACGCCGCGUGGGGGAUGACGGCCUUCGGGUUGUAAACCGCUUUCAGUGCAGAACAAGGCUCUUUGUGGGUUGAGGGUAUGCGCAGAAGAAGCGCCGGCUAACUACGUG